UUUCACGCGGCUCCGAGAGCGUUUCCCAUCGGGGGCCCCUUUCCCCAGGAAAACCCAGGAGGAAUUUGGCCUUUCCAUCCCCCGCCGCUCCCCCGAAGCCAAAGCCCGGCCGCGCCGGCUGCCCGGAGCCUGCAAAUGACUGGGACACGUUUCACACCCCCAGACCUGGUGCAGGGAGGUCCAUGGGGAGAACUGGAGCAUGAUGGGCUCGAUGGUGCAGUCAUCCCCAAGUGUCCCCACGGUGGCCAGCUUGAGGAAGGGUACUCAGCAUCAGCAGAAGCGUCCAAGGCUGCCAGCACCUCCUGGAAACCGUCCCCCUUGGCCAAGGCCACCACCUGGCGCUCCAUGAACUCCUCCACCACCACUUGGUAGGAGCUGGAGAACACAAAACCCCCCAGAUU